ensembl:lncRNA
CAAAAGAUGAUCCAGAAAUAAGCAAUUAUAUUGAUUAGAUUUUGCAUAGUAAUUCCAAUUUUAAUUCUUCAAAUAUCUUGUGAAAAAAAUUGUUAUUUUACACGACAGGAAAUGUUUGUCUUUAGAAAGAUUUAUCUUUCUCUAUUCCCAUAGGAGUAUAAUCUGAGUUUUAACCCAUCAUAUACAUAUUUACAUAUGUGCAUACUUUUUGGUGCUUAACUGUGUUUCAUACUGCUAACACAAAUUUGGGGAAAAGGAUAAUUUGAGAUUUGUGCUUCCCAUAUGUCUAAUACAAUUUGCAAGCCAUCUACUGUAUCACUUGUAAGCUUCAGAUUCUUUUCAUAUGAUUUGAUUUUCUAUCGAGGCAACAAGAUGGACUUCUGUUUUGCUUCAGAAAUCAUUCCCUGACAUCACCACACACUUUAAGGUAGCUGAGACCAAUUCAGCCUUUUGCAGCCUUUUAAGUAUCUGAGCACUGCACUUCAAAAAUGUUAUCAGUUGAAUUUGUUGAUCUGAGUAUGUACCAAAACAGAUACCAUGCAGCAUCUCUAAGUUGUAUGUUAGUAUAAAUUAGAGGUCAGAAAGCAUUUUUUUGAAAGGAACUUUAGGAAGUUCCCAUGAAGAAGAGAUGCUCAAAUAUUAGUUUUGUUUUCUUGCUGAUAUAUGUAGUGAAUCUCUCCUACAUCUGAAAGUUCAAAACUGUUGUAUGCGUAGCGAGGGAAACGAGGUGUGUUGUAGGCGUAGCGAGGGAAACGAGGUGUGACGCGUGCAGGUUCCUAUGCCACCUGUGUGUUAUGCCACCUGUGUGUGCCAAGUGUAACUUCGUGAUUGGAGGAAACACUUGUAUUUAAACACGUAGCCUAUAGCAAUAAAUGCCAUUUGCCUCACUUACUCCUGGGGUCUGGGUGAGCAUCUGGCCCCGACCUGGUAAAGGGUCGGUUUCGCCCAGCAGUAAGCCCUACAUGUGGACAGAGGACGAACACCGGACGAGCGAACGGAGACUACAUGCAACAAGUGGUGACCCCGACAUGAUCUGUCUGCUGAGGGUGGCUGCCCGGCGUGCCCGUGACGCGGAGAAGAGCCUGUGAGGUGGCGGCAGGUCGCAUGCGUAACAAUGGACCAAGUCAUUAAGGUACUUGUGCAGUUUUGUAAGGACUACUGUGGAAAAUCUACUCCUUCCCGGAAGGAGAUCGCGACAGUUCUAGUUCUAGUGUUGCUUACUGUACAGUCAAAGAAAAAAAAAAAAAAAAAGGCGGUUUUCACCCAGAUGAGCUUACAGUGAGAAAGGCACAAUGAGAUUGAGCAUUUGAAUGGAGAUAAAACUUAAAAGGAAAUGAAGAUGGCCAUGAUUAACACAGUUCCAGUGUCUGAAUGAUUUCUUGUGUGUUUCUCUUUUCUAUUAAGAGAAGAGGUCAGAUGGAGGGAAGGACAGCGCUAUGGAUGUUAAUGCAAAAAGCACAGAAUAUGAAAAGAGCAUACAAUAUACAGCGCUUGCUGUCUGUCUGAUUCUGUUCUACACAAAGGGGUAAAUAGGCAUGACAUCAGAAGUUUUGAGAGAUUUAAACAGGAAAUUCUCAAGUCAUUUUUCUAAUGCAAUGAAUAAGUUUAAAAUUUUGGAGGAAAUUUUGAUAUUAUUUUUUAUUAUUGAUAUUAUCAAUAAUAUUGAUAUUUUGAUAUUAUAUGAGCAGGGGCACAUUAUGCUAAACCUCCAUGUCUCUAUACAAAUACUUCCAUAUAUAAAUUACUCUCUAAAUAAACAGAUAAAAAUGCAUCUAACCAAAACCUCUAACGGUGAAUGAAUGUAUCAAAAAGCUGCAUAUGUUUCUCUUCAUUCAGUCAUAUACUCCUGCACAUUUAAUAAUUUCAACAAAGAUUAAAUGAAACUUAGAAAAGAUGUAGUUUUAAUAGGCUUCAAGAAGCAGAAAAACUGAAAAACUUAAAUAGCAUGAAGCAAAGGGAAAACCUCCUAGAAUUAAUUUAGAAACCUGUGGAUGCCAGGAGACAUUGCCAUGUCUUCUGUCUUACCAUCUGGGAUCUAUUACAAUUCCUUUAAAGACUCCCCUUAUGUUAAAUUGAAGAUGAGAACUGAAAUUUGUAUAACAAGUACAUUAGAAGCAGGAGAGAAUGAUGCAAUACAACCUACCCAGCACUGAAAGCAGAAAGCUGGAAAGAAUUAGCUGGCAGAAAAAAACUUCAUAAUGUCUUCUUGUCUGCAUUUUGCUGUCUCAGCCUAUUCAAGUGAUAGCAAUGUCUUUGUCCUUGUUAAAGAUCUGUAAUACUUCCAGUGGAAUGUAUAUGUUCUUAAAAGCUAUCUUUAUAGUUUUAAUGUGAUAAUGGUCACCGGAUCCUUUUUUCCUGAUGAUUGGAGUAUCUGUACAGGAUGCAGUGCACAAGAGCUCCAACCCUUCUUGUGGCUGAAAGGACUCAAAUACACUGUCCCCACUCUAAAGAAAAUAUUGUAAAUUAUGUUGACACUUUUGUAACCUGUGUUAUCUUAAGCAGGUGUUCAAGGUAUUUCAUUAUCAUCUUCCUCUCUCCAUUGAUAUCAGAAACAGCUAACCAUAGGCAGACUGUUACAAAAAAAAUGUUUAAAAUUAUGUUACAGGUACAGGGAACGAGGGUUAGAGACAGUAAAAAAGGUAAGGAACUUUGACACUUGUCAUGUCAAGUGUUGGAGACUCUGAAAGUUAGACAUCCAGCUUGGAAGUGGAAUCCAUUAAUCUGAAUUAGGAGCCCAAGGGUGUUGCUUAUUGAUGUUUUCCUCUUGUGGCAAAACUGUAAGAACUUUCUACUCCUUAUUGUCCAGUUAUUCAUUAUUACUCUAUAAAUGAGUUUCCUGUUUUCACAGUCUGUUUUUAUGCAGAUGUGUGCAGCAAAUGUUGAAAACGGAUUUGCUGGAUUUAAGAAAAAUGAGCUGAACAACACUA